AACUAUCUGCUGUCUAAACGGUGGAAAGGAAAAAGGAGUAGGAGUUGUUUGAUAGUUGGGCGGUGGGAAACCUUUAUUUGGACAGCUGCCAGGAAGGAACUUACCACCGAAACUGUUGAGUAAGCAGCGACCGAAUGAGAGGAACUUGGAAUGAUCAGCCACCGAAUGGAGAAACAUUGAGUGAUCAGCUGAGUGAAGAAGUACGCUUAAUUCUCUUCCUACCAACCAAGCAUUAGGAACAAAACUGAGAGAGAGAGAUUCGGUCACACCCAUUUUAUCUCAAAAACCCAACCGAGUGAGAGGAAAAGAAAACAGAGAACGAAGCUUUCUUUCCUCUUCAUACCCAAAACCGUGAGAAAGAGUGAGAGUGAAGGAGCAUUUCUGGUUCCUUCCAGCCACAACCGAGUGAGUAAGAGAGCUGAGUGAGUGAUAAGAGGAGGAAGCUAACUUAGAAUUUCAUAUAUCAGCUACCAUAGUGAGGAGGAACCGAAGCUAGGAGCAAUCUGCCACUAGUAAAACUUAGCAGAAAAAGGUAAGAAUCUUGUAACCACCCUUUUAUUUCUUGAAUAUAACUGAAUAUAUGGGCUUCAUGUUAGUUUAGCAAGGAAUAAUAAGUUUUAACCGAAGGGAGAUCUGAUAAAGAAGAAAAAUUGGAACUGGACUGAAGUUGUAGGAAGUAGGAACCGAGAGUUGUUGUUUGUUGUUGCAGCUUGUUAACCGAAAGUAUGGAGUAAUUUUCUGCUACAAGCUUAAACUAUAUGUUAUUUCCUUGUCUUACCUAAGUAACUAGAGCAGAGUUGAUAGCUUGAGUGAAAACUUUGCUAAGAUUAGCUGGUAGUUUCUAUCUAGCUGACCGAGAGAGGAAAUACGAAAUUUUCCAAAUUUCUUGACAGAUUUUGGGUUCCAAAUUCUUACGUUGAAGCUUAAUACCCUGCAUAAUAGUUUAGUCUCAGCAUGCAUGUUAGAUUGAGUGGGAAAUGAAGUAGAUAAUAGAGAAAUGUCUUGCUUAAAAAAAAAAAAACUGAGUUGCUGCCAAAACUUUUCCAGCAUGGCUGAAAGAGAGAGUUACACUUCAUAUCAGCCUUUCUUUCGAAGUUCAGCUGUAAAAUUUUAUACUUUCUGUUCAAGAUUACUUUGUAGCUUGCUAAUUAUGUUUUGCAUGUUGAGUUGAAGUUAAAACUGAAGAAAAUGUGAAGAAAGAACCGAAUCUUUAAACUGUCUUAUGGCUGGAAGAUUAGUUAGCAGAUGACAGAAUAAUUUUGAGGUUCAUGAUGGAAUUACUUGUUGAAAUGGUGGGUUAUCUGCUAUAGUUUAGGCUGGUUAGAUGAUAUGUUGAGUGAUUAGUGUUUAAGCAAGUAGACCAUGAAGAUUUGUUGAACAUCUUAAAUUGAUAUUGCUGGAAAUCUUGCUGGAUGGCCGAAACAGUGAAGAGUUGGGUUUUUCUAUGAACUUUCGAAAAUUCUAGGAUAGUUUGUUGUAAUAAUAUAUAUAUUUAUAUCAGUUUGUAACAUCUUGAUCUUGUUUUGAAUACUUUAAAGAACUUAAAACAUGAAGGACUAGUGAAGUGGAACAUAUAAGACUAGUAUGUAAUUCAUAAACAACCUAGAGUUUAGUUAGUUUUAAAAAGGAAAAUGGAGUAUCUAUAAGCCAUAAUUAAUAUUGGAUUGAGAAAGUAUAUUGGUUUGAACAUUAUACAAGUUUAUAAACUUGAAGAUAUGUAUGUUUCAUGGUUUAAAAAUAAUAAAGUCAAUAAGUUCGAAAAUAAAAUGAUGAAUAAAUAUUGAGAAUGUUAUAUUGUAUAUUUUAAAGCCAAACCUAAUUCGAAUAAUUUAAAUAAUAGGCGAACAUCUACAAAUUGUAAAUUUACCAUGGAAUUAUAUAUUUAUCUCAGGAAAUAGCUGCGAGCCAGGAAACAAACCCGAGGCUCGAGAGUAAAUUAUUUGGAUAAUUGGUGAGUGUUUUCCGAAUUUAUGUGUUAAACUGCUUAUGUGUACCUAAGUGCAAUUAUAUGGCAAAUGUGUUUAUUAUGAAAUAUUGCUAAGUGA
rnacentral:lncRNA from 1 species